GCCGCUAUAGCUCAGUGGCUAGAGCGUUGGUCUCGUAAUCCAAAGGUCGCGAGUUCGAAUCUCGUUGGCGGCA
rnacentral:tRNA from 1 species